rnacentral:rRNA from 1 species
CAGCAGGCGCGAAACCUUUACAAUGCUGGCAACAGCGAUAGGGGGACCUUGAGUGCCAGGUUACAAAUCUGGCUGUCGUUGUGUCUAAAAAACACGAUAUAGCAAGGGCCGGGCAAGACCGGUGCCAGCCGCCGCGGUAACACCGGCGGCUCGAGUGGUAACCGUUAUUAUUGGGUUUAAAGGGUCUGUAGCCGGCCUGGUUAGUCCUUUGGGAAAUCCGGCAGCUCAACUGUCGGGCUUUCAGAGGAUACUGCCAGGCUCGAGACCGGGAGAGGUAAGAGGUACUUCAGGGGUAGGGGUGAAAUCUUGUAAUCCUUGAAGGACCACCAGUGGCGAAGGCGUCUUACCAGAACGGAUCUGACGGCAAGGGACGAAAGCUAGGGGCACGAACCGGAUUAGAUACCCGGGUAGUCCUAGCCGUAAACGAUACUCGCUAGGUGUCGGCCACGGUGCGACCGUGGUCGGUGCCGUAGGGAAACCGUGAAGCGAGCCACCUGGGAAGUACGGCCGCAAGGCUGAAACUUAAAGGAAUCGGCGGGGG